rnacentral:rRNA from 1 species
CCUACGGUGGGCAGCAGUGGGGAAUAUUGCGCAAUGGGCGAAAGCCUGACGCAGCGACGCCGCGUGAGGGAUGAAGGUCUUCGGAUCGUAAACCCCUGUCAGCAGGGAAGAACGGUCACUGUGCUAAUCAGCAGUGAAUUGACGGUACCUGCAAAGCAAGCACCGGCUAACUCCGUGCCAGCAGCCGCGGUAAUACGGAGGGUGCGAAGGUUAAUCGGAAUUACUGGGCGUAAAGCGCUCGUAGGCGGUAUGUCAAGUCAAGGGUGAAAUCUCCGCGCUCAACGUGGGAACUGCCGUUGAAACUGGCGAUCUGGAGUGUGUGAGAGGAUAGUGGAAUUCGAGGUGUAGGGGUGAAAUCCGUAGAUAUCUGGAGGAACAUCAGUGGCGAAGGCGACUAUCUGGCACAUAACUGACGCUGAGGAGCGAAAGCGUGGGUAUCAAACAGGAUUAGAUACCCCAGUAGUC